rnacentral:misc_RNA from 1 species
UUGACUUGAAAAUAGAGGUAAAAACGCCAAGAAGAAUCCGUAUAGUAAAGUCUCUGGUCGACUCUCUAGGAGGAAAGUGAGACGAAAGAAACCCUAAGCAUCAGAGACUCAGAGAGAGACCAGCUAGCGUGAGCAGCGGGUCAACGCAAAAACUAGAAAUCAAGUAAAGACGCUGGUGGAGGUGGGGGAUCACCAUGGGCUUACGUUAGAUUUUAGGACUUGUAAACUUUCUAGUCAAACAAAAC